GCCAGACUGCAAAGCUCUCCAGCUGGCAUCGCUUAUAUCCCACGGAAGUGGGUCUCCAGGACCCACCCCUCCUGGCAGCCGCAGCUCAUCCCAGACUGGCUUUGCCUGCUCCAGGACCAGCCCCUUGACCUCUCACAGGACCUUUCUUGGCCCUUCCCAGUUCGGGCACAGCAAGAAGUCAGACACCUUGAUUAUGCAGACCUGACAGGCCUUGCAUUCUAGACGGGGAAGAUAAAUGCCUGAACUUUGCUGAAACCCACGGACAGAUGCGUUGUGUUUGGGCUCUGUGUACAGACGUGGCUCUCCAAGAUAGCCAAGAGUCAUCUGCAUUCCAUGGAAGUCUCCCUCUCCAUCCCGCACAGACUCCUCCAUCCUGCUUGGGUCUUGGGAGAAGUGGAAAGCUACCACAGACUGCUUUUACAUUUUCCGCUCGGCCCAUCUGUCCAUUUUAUCCAAAUAUUAGGGUUAGAACCCUUUCAUUAUCUUUUUGUCCCCUUAGAUUCUCUGGGCUUUGUCUCUUCCUCAUCAUAGUUUUCUAAUAGGCAAAGGGAAUGUUCUGCCCAGGUGGAGGGAGAGAACGGACGGCCCAGGCGACUUCCAUACCGGCAGGUUUUCUGUGGAGUUGAAGCUGUCUGUGAGGAGCAGUAGGCCAAAGGCUUCGGUAACAUACUUGGUCACCAUCCUCCUCUUCUCGUCCAAGAGCCUUUUCCUGAUGUAUUCUCUUAACUUGGGGAUUUCUGGAAUUACAGACGGCACAGACAAUUUUAAAAGGCCAAGUUUGCAUGGAACAGAAUUCACACACAUGGAAAGAUCAGUUGGCCCUUGCAGCUGGCUGCCUCCUCAACCAGUUUUCUGAAAGACAUUUUUUCUCGUCUGGGAUCAACAACAGUGAAAGGUGACUCAGCCAUGGUGAAUAUUAAUUUGGUUUAGCUAUUCAAAAUAAAAUUCAUAGAAAAGUACAGACUGGC